GGGAUUGUGACUUAGUGGUAGAGUACUUGCCUCACAUGCAUGAAGCCCUGGGUUUCAUUCCUCAGUACCA
rnacentral:tRNA from 1 species